UGUGUCUUACCUCUCUCCAGCGAUUCUCCGAAGAUCCGUGUGUGUGUGUGUGUCUUACCUCUCUCCAGCGAUUCUCCGAAGAUCAGUGUGUGUGUGUGUGUGUGUGUGUCUUACCUCUCUCCAGCGCUUCUCCGAAGAUUAGUGUGUGUGUGUGUGUCUUACCUCUCUCCAGCGAUUCUCCGAAGAUCCGUGUGUGUGUGUGUGUCUUACCUCUCUCCAGCGAUUCUCCGAAUAUCCUUGUGUGUGUGUGUGUCUUACCUCUCUCCAACGAUUCUCCGAAGAUCCGUGUGUGUGUGUGUGUGUGAGUCUUACCUCUCUCCAGCGAUUCUCCGAAGAUCCGUGUGUGUGUGUGUGUGUGUCUUACCUCUCUGCAGCGAUUCUCCGAAGAUCCGUGUGUGUGUGUGUGUGUGUGUGUGUGUGUGUCUUACCUCUCUCCAGCGAUUCUCUGAAUAUCCGUGUGUGUGUGUGUGUGUGUGUGUGUGUCUUACCUCUCUCCAGCGAUUCUCCGAAUAUCCGUGUGUGUGUGUGUGUGUGUGUGUCUUACCUCUCUCCAGCGAUUCUCCGAAGAUCUGUGUGUGUGUGUGUGUCUUUCCUCUCUCCAUCUAUUCUCCGAAGAUCCUUGUGUGUGUGUGUGUGUUUGUCUUACCUCUUUCCAGCGAUUCUCCGAAGAUCUGUGUGUGUGAGUCUUACCUCUCUCCAGCGAUUCUACGAAGAUCUGUGUGUGUGUGUGUGUGUCUUACCUCUAUCCAGCGCUUCUCCGAAGAUCAGUGUGUGUGUGUGUGUGUGUGUCUUACCUCUCUCCAGCAAUUCUCCGAAGAUCCGUGUGUGUGUGUGUGUGUGUGUGUCUUACCUCUCUCCAGCGAUUCUCCAAAGAUCAGUGUGUGUGUGUGUCUUACCUCUCUCCAGCGAUUCUCCGAAGAUCCGUGUGUGUGUGUGUGCCUUACCUCUCUCCCAGAAAUUCUCCGAAUAUCCUUGUGUGUGUGUGUGUCUUACCUCUCUCCAACGAUUCUCCGAAGAUCUGUGUGUGUGUGUGUGUGUGUGUGUGUGUGUGUGUGUCUUACCUCUCUCCAGCGAUUCUUUGAAGAUCCGUGUGUGUGUGUGUGUGUGUGUCUUACCUCUCUCCAGCGAUUCUCCGAAGAUCCGUGUGUGUGUGUGUGUGUGUCUUACCUCUCUCCAGCGAUUCUCCGAAGAUCCGUGUGUGUGUGUGUGUGUGUGUGUCUUACCUCUCUCCAGCGCUUCUCCGAAGAUUAGUGUGUGUGUGUGUGUCUUACCUCUCUCCAGCGAUUCUCCGAAGAUCCGUGUGUGUGUGUGUGUGUGUCUUACCUCUCUCCAGAGAUUCUCCGAAGAUCAAUGUGUGUGUGUGUGUGUGUCUUACCUCUCUGCAGCGAUUCUCCGAAGAUCCGUGUGUGUGUGUGUGUGUGUGUGUGUGUGUGUCUUACCUCUCUCCAGCGAUUCUCCGAAGAUCCGUGUGUGUGUGUGUGUGUGUGUGUCUUACCUCUCUCCAGCGAUUCUCCGAAGAUCCGCGUGUGUGUGUGUGUCUUACCUCUCUCCAGCGUGUGUGGGUGUGUGUCUUAGAAUUCAAAGGUACAGCACGCACAUUCUAAACCUUAAAACUGGGUGCUGGGCAGACAAGUAA
rnacentral:lncRNA from 1 species